rnacentral:sRNA from 1 species
GGGAUCUGGCAGAGACAUCUGUCAUCCCAUUGAUCAUCAGGGUUGAUUGGGUGAUCCGACUGGCACUGUGGGCGUCCCCCUCCUCCAUUUGUGUCCCUCUCAAAGCUUUGCCCUCAAAGAGGACGAUGACUUUUCCCAAUAGAGUCAAGCACUCCUCUGUUGGAACCUCCACACCAGUGCUGGAGCUCCUAGUGGGCUGAGCCCCGUGAGUCAGGGCCCCCUG